rnacentral:rRNA from 1 species
CGUCUAUAUACGUAUAGCAUAUCAAUAAGCGGAGGAAAAGAAACUAACUAGGAUUCCCUUAGUAACGGCGAGUGAAGCGGGAAGAGCUCAAAUUUGAAAUCUUCAAGGUUCUACCUUGACGAAUUGUAGUUUAAAGAAGUGUUUUCUGUUGGAGUUUUGGUAAAAGUUCUUUGGAAUAGGACAUCAUAGAGGGUGAGAAUCCCGUAUUUGACCAUUAUUUCCAACUUUGUGAUACACUUUCAAAGAGUCGGAUUGUUUGGGAAUGCAGUCCAAAAUGGGUGGUAAAUUUCAUCUAAAGCUAAAUACUGGCGAAGAGACCGAUAGCGAACAAGUACCGUGAGGGAAAGAUGAAAAGAACUUUGAAAAGAGAGUUAAACAGUACGUGAAAUUGUCAAAAGGGAAGCGUUUGACACCAGUGUUGUUUUCUCGAAAAUCAAUUAAAAAAGAUGGGAUUUUGUGUUGUAUUGACUUUAUCAGCUUUCUGCACUCUUUUCUUGUCUUUUUUAAUGCACUUUUCGUUUAACAAGUCAACAUCAAUUUCUUUUGUUGUAAAAGAGGUCAUUGGAAGGUGGCUUUCUUUUCGGAGAAAGUGUUUAUAGCCUUUGACUUCUGCAAUCGGAGAGAUUGAGGUCUGCAGCGUAGAUCCUUCGGGGUUAGAUACAUUUGUGCUAAGUUAUAGCCUUUCAUAGACAACUUGUUGACUAUGAUCAGUCAUGUAGCUUACUCGCUUAUGUUAUUUUACCUACGCUUAGGAUGUUGACGAUCAGCUGAGCGCG